rnacentral:rRNA from 1 species
GACGAACGCUGGCGGCGUGCUUAACACAUGCAAGUCGAGCGGAGCGGCGGACGGGUGAGUAACGCGUGAGUAACUGCCCCCCCCUCUGGGAUGACAUAUGUAAACGGCUGCUUAUACCGUAUAGUGGUGGAUGACUCGCGUCCUAUGAGCUUCUUGGUGGGGUAGUGGCAUACCAAGGCGACGACGGGUCGUCGGCCUGAGAGGGCGACCAGCCACAAUGGGCUGAGAGACGGACCAGACGGCAACGGGGGGCAGCAGUGGGGAAUAUGGCGCAAUGGGGGAAACCCUGAUGCAGCAACGCGCGUGCGGGAUGAAGGCUUUGGGGUUGUAAACCGCUUUAAGCCAUGAAGCGGUAGUGGCAGAAGAAGCACCGGCUAACUACGUGCCAGCAGCCGCGGUAAUAC